rnacentral:rRNA from 1 species
UACGAAGGGGGGCUAGCGUUGCUCGGAAUCACUGGGCGUAAAGGGUGCGUAGGCGGGUCUUUAAGUCAGGGGUGAAAUCCUGGAGCUCAACUCCAGAACUGCCUUUGAUACUGGCGAUCUCGAGUCCGGGAGAGGUGAGUGGAACUGCGAGUGUAGAGGUGAAAUUCGUAGAUAUUCGCAAGAACACCAGUGGCGAAGGCGGCUCACUGGCCCGGUACUGACGCUGAGGUGCGAAAGCGUGGGGAGCAAACAGG